rnacentral:rRNA from 1 species
UACAGAGGUCUCAAGCGUUGUUCGGAUUCAUUGGGCGUAAAGGGUGCGUAGGCGGCGCGGUAAGUCGGGUGUGAAAUUUCGAGGCUUAACUUCGAAACUGCAUUCGAUACUGCCGUGCUUGAGGACUGGAGAGGAGACCGGAAUUUACGGUGUAGCGGUGAAAUGCGUAGAUAUCGUAAGGAAGACCAGUGGCGAAGGCGGGUCUCUGGACAGUUCCUGACGCUGAGGCACGAAGGCCAGGGGAGCAAACGGG